AUGAAACACCGGUGGCGGUGGCACAAACCACUCAAGUCCCCCGCACGGGGAAUGGAGGCGGGCGCGAGGGAACGGCUUGCUGGUCGACCCGCGGAGGGGCGGAGACACGGGCGCGCCGUGUGGCUGGCGGAAGCGGGCGGGGCGGGGCGGGAGCCGCCCCGACAGGGCGAAGGCCGGGGGUCGCCAGCGGGGAAGGGCGAGGGGAGGGGAGCGGAGGGGCGGCGCGGGACCGCAACCACACACCCCCGCUCCUCCGCCCCAGACGCACGACCCGGGCGACCCCGUGGCCGCGUGCGGCGCGAGGGAUCUCCCCAAGAGGGGACCGCGGCGGCGGCGGCAGCCGCCGCGGCCCUCCUCGGCGCGAGCUCUCGCCUCUCUCCUUUUCUCGCGGGCGGGCACCGCCUCUCACGUCACCCCCACACCCCCGCCCCACCGCCCGCCCCACCCCCGCCCCACGCACGGCCCCGCCGCCGGCCCGGUCCCCGGCCCCCACGCACCGCACCACACCGCACGGGUGCGGGGGCGGGGGGCGCGGGCGGCCGGGACCGGGCGCGGCGGAAGGGCACGGGAGGGGAGCGGGGGAGGGAGGGAGGGAGGGAAGGAGGGAGGCACGCGGAGGCGGCCACCGCGUCUGCUCUUAGGGGGACGGAGGGCCCGGCAGACCGGGCCCUGCGAGGGAACCCCCAGCCGCGCCGCCACCAGGGGCGGCGAUUGAUCGCCAAGCGACGCUCAGACAGGCGUAGCCCCGGGAGGAACCCGGGGCCGCAAGUGCGUUCGAAGUGUCGAUGAUC
rnacentral:lncRNA from 12 species